AUGUGCUGGAUCCUGCAGCCCACGAUGUUCCUUCUGGGCUGAGCCAGAGUCUUACUGGGACCAACGCUGGUCCUCGGUUUCCUGGAGGAACAACAGGAAGGAAAAACCCAACAAGAUAACAAGAAGUAUUAAACAGGAAGAGGCUCCACCUGGUGGAACAACCAGGAACUACAGCUGAUCUACGAUGCAUUCACUAACAUGCAACCUUGUUCUUCUCCUGAGUUUUGGUGAAAGGAUUUUAUAACAUCCUCACUUGAAAUAAAAAUGUAGAGAACAAGCAGGA